GCUGAUAUAGCUCAGGUGGUAGAGCGUCACAUUGGUAAUGUGGAGGUCACGGGUCCGAGUCCCGUUAUCAGCU
rnacentral:tRNA from 1 species